CGGAGAAGGAAGGUCUGUCCUGCCCAUCCAGCACAGUGCUUUCAAGCUCGCGUUUUUUAGCUGCAACUCCACCCCGUGCUGGUGGAAAAGGGAUCAGUUCCUACUGAUCGCAGGAAAGGGAGGUCACGGGGUUUGCUUGAUUAAAUCACCACAAGCCAAAAGGUUCUUUCUCUCUUCUCACUGAGAAUUGCUCAGAGGCUGUUUAAUUUGUUCCAAAAAGAAAAACAAAACAAAAAGACCAAACCCCAAGCCCAACCACCAACAGCACACACGGAAAAGCAGGUGUGUCUCAAGAUCCUGGGAAAACAAAGGGCAGAGACUGAGGCAGAAAGUGACACUUGGAUGGGAAGUUCCCAUCCCAGCACAAGAGGACAAGUUUGGAAAAGGCUCGGACAGGAUCAGCACUUAUCCUACAGAGGGCAGCCUGGGCUACAGAAGAAAGCAAAGGAUGUUUAAGAUGGAUCUAAUUAGAAGAUCUUCUCUUUGAACGACCUGAGAAGGUAAACCAUGUUGUAUCUCUGGGUGUUGUCUUUAUUUUCUAAAACAUGUGUGGUGGUAACUAUUGUGCUGGGUGGAUUUGCAAGAGAAGGUGUAAUUAUUUUGCAACAUUCGUGAAAAAGAG
rnacentral:lncRNA from 1 species